rnacentral:rRNA from 1 species
AGUGAACAAUUCAACGGCCGCGGUACCCUAACCGUGCAAAGGUAGCAUAAUCAUUUGUCUAUUAAUUGUAGACCAGCAUGAAAGGCAACAUGAGGGCCUAACUGUCUCUUAUAAUAAAUCAAUUAAACUGAUCUCCUAGUAAAAAAGCUAGAAUUUUACCAUAAGACCAGAAGACCCUGUGAAGCUUAAACUAAACUAUUAAAACAUAUAAUAACUACUUUCGGUUGGGGCGACCUUGGAAAAAAAAAGAACUUCCAACAUACUAAUAUACCAUACCAUAUAGGCCUACAAGCCACACAUUAAUGACCCAGUACAGCUGAUCAUUGAACCAAGUUACUCCAGGGAUAACAGCGCAAUCUUCUUCAAGAGCCCAUAUCAAAAAGAAGGUUUACGACCUCGAUGUUGGAUCAGGACAUCCUAA